GAAUCCCGUAUAUGGCAUGGACUCCCGUUGCUCUGUGAUACACUCUCGACGAGUCGAGUUGUUUGGGAAUGCAGCUCUAAAUGGGUGGUAAAUGCCAUCUAAAGCUAAAUAUUGGCGAGAGACCGAUAGCGAACAAGUACCGUGAGGGAAAGAUGAAAAGCACUUUGGAAAGAGAGUGAAACAGUACGUGAAAUUGUUGAAAGGGAAACGCUUGAAGUCAGUCGCGCCGUUCGGGAUUCAGCCUUGCUUCUGCUCGGUUUACUUCCCGUUGGGUGGGUCAACAUCAGUUUCGGUCGGAGGAGAAAGACUUGGGGAAGGUAGCAGCAUUCGUGCUGUGUUAUAGCCCCUUGUUGUAUACUUCGAUUGGGACUGAGGACCGCAGCACGCCUUUGGCCGGGGUUCGCCCACGUACGUGCUUAGGAUGUUGGCAUAAUGGCUUUAAGCGACCCGUCUUGAAACACGGACCAAGGAGUCUAACAUGUGCGCGAGUGUUUGGGUGUUAAACUCGGACGCGAAAUGAAAGUGAAAGGUUGGGAACACUUAUGUGUGCACCAACGCCCGGAGCUGACCUUCUGUGACGCAUCUGCGGUAGAGCGUAUAUGUUGGGACCCGAAAGAUGGUGAACUAUGCCUGAAUAGGGUGAAGCCAGAGGAAACUCUGGUGGAGGCUCGUAGCGAUUCUGACGUGCAAAUCGAUCGUCAAAUUUGGGUAUAGGGGCGAAAGACUAAUCGAACCAUCUAGUAGCUGGUUCCUGCC
rnacentral:rRNA from 1 species